CUGAUACAUCUGCUCAGGCUUGAAGUUCAGACUUCAGACCUGACGGUUUCAUCAUCUCCUCUUCUUAAGUUAAUGAGUAUGCACAUGUAAUGUACGUCUGUUGUAGUUCUGCACUUGGAGUUUUUGUGUUAAUGCCUGAAUGCAAAAUGAUUUCUGUAGUUUUUACAUGAAUGUAAAAUAAAGGCUAGAUAUUCCUGAUCUGGUUGGUCUGAACUUAUUGUUGUUUCUAAAUUGUAAAUCAAUUUGUUUACUCGCAGACACAAAUAAUAGUUGAGGUUUAAUUUAUGAUUUAUGCAUUGAAUAUCACUUUCAUCUAUUGAUUGAUUCCUGAUAUCACUGUACUGAAAGUACUCAGAAAUGAAGAAGCACCAUGGUGUACUUUGGCUUCAGGAUAUGCAUAGUUCAGCAUGGUUGUGUACCGAUGGUGCAAGGGAGAGAUGCCACUGACCAUUCAUUACGGGCUUUUAAUCCCACACCUGUUUCAUGUUCACAUUUCUGCUACUCAUACAUGUCUAUGUUGCAUUUCAGGCAGACCAAAUAAAUCGUCGAGACCCUAAGCAAACCCAACAAUGAAUCUAAAUAGCUUACUUUAGGAAGUAUAUGCUUAGUCAUUCUAUGCUCGGUUUCUUUCUUACCUGUGGAAGCAAAAUUGAUGAUACUAGAGGAAUUGUCAGUAUAUUGCAGUUCGGUUCUGAUGGAUUGUCAUUAUUUCCUAGAUGUUUGGGAUGAUUUUCUGGAAAUUUUGGCUCUAGAAGGUAUGUCCUGGUUCCGCCACUAAUUUCCUGGUGAACGUGUUAAUAGCGGUAUUCGUGGUGAGCUGUCCAUGAUGUCGUUUUAUAUUGCCAGGAGAUCCAGCAUAAUAUAUCUAAUGCCAUGGGUACCGUGUAUGCAGCAGUUAUUAUUACUGGAAUUACUAAUUCCACUUCUCUUCAAACCCUGUGAUUUCCAUCAAAAGAUUUGUAUCAUACAUAGAGUUACUUGCAUUAUGCAGUCACUGUAUGAUCAACUAGGGGAGUGUUGUCGCUCUCUUCUCCAUGCACAAGAACAUGUGGGAUUUUGGGAUGUUCACUUUCCAAACUAGGAGGUGUGCGCCCUGUUCGCAUGUACUUACUUUUGUCGCUACUGUUGUGUGUUGAGAUUUGAUUAAUUAUUACUAACAUGGACAGAGAUCUUACCCAGUUCAUUAUGGGGCUUGCAGUUUGUGCCCUGAGAACAUUUGUUCCGCUGAAAUCAAAGCUUGAUCACCACAAUUAGAGAUGGAAGGUGUGAAGAAAGCCCACUAUCUACAGUAUUGUCACAAUGCACAAACCUUGGCAGGCCUUGCUAGAUGUCUCGUAGAAUGGUGGAUUAUUGAGCAAUAAUCUUCAAGGUAAACAGUCUAAUAUUUCAUUUGCAUGGUAUUUUCAGAAAAUGGUUGUCAAAAAAUAGGAUUAGCCCCACCAGGUUGGAUGGCCAUAUGCAUUUGCAGGCGUUGAAGAAAAAAUGUUUAAUGUGCUCGGAGAGCAAUACCUGUAUACCUAUGAUGAGAAAAUAUAAUGGAUCGGACAUCAACUUAUUUACCAUGGCGUUUGGAAUUAUUUAAUACCUGUGUGUAACCUGCCAUCUAUGCAAGUUACUCAGGCACAACUAGCUCUAGAGGUUUUUGUUUUUGAAUUCGUAUGCACGCUAUUUAUGUUUUUUUCUCCAGAAAAUUGUUUAACAUGGGAACUAACAUGGCUACUGUUACUUGUUCACGGUGCCAUGUUAGGCUUGUGACUUUUGAAGGGGUCAAGAUGUUAGGCUCGAACUUCACAUUCUGCAAUACCACAACCUCAAGGCACCCAUCUCCUUUAUUUUAGUGUGCCCUAUAAAUUAGCAUGCAUGAUUAAUUAUAUGCAUUUACCAGUUCACUGGAUGCUCUAUAAGGGACUCAAAGUGCCAAGUGACAUGGAGAAAUGAUGUAAGGUAAUGGGUGAAGAAAGCCAGCAAAUCAGUCUGGAUUAUUUGUUGUCUGGAUCAACCCCUCAUUAUCCCCUGUCGCAAGGAAUACUUUUUUUUUAGAAGAAAGCAACCGUCUUGAGAAUUGCUUGCCAAAACCUAAUGAUCUGUGCAGUAAAUGAACGCCUGGAAUUUUAAAACAAUACAAGUUCUACAUGAGAAGCUCUUCUGUGCAAGAUUUCAGCGUUGAGGUCAUUUUCACUUGAACGGCUGCAAUACUUCAGGGAGAGAAUCUGGCAUGAGCACACUGGUCUACUUCCUUGACAUACCAUAGUCGGUCAUUUUAGCACAGUCUUGAAGCCGAUCAUUUACCUCUCCAUGUUUUACUUCUUCAAAAGUCUGAGAUCGUCAAUUGGUGACAACUACACCAUACUCCUCACAUUUAUAUGAUGCGUGACUGGGAUAGGAUACACGUUUGUCAUCUGUUUCAAUCCUGGCUCAGCGCAGCUGGUAUGCACCAUUGUUCUGGUUCUGACCUUGUUAUCCACUCAAAGUACUACCCCUACAUUCCGGAAGAUGUUGAGCUAUCCAAAGUGGACAGUAGAGGGCUUCCUAAUUGUAGAUGCAAAAAAGUUUAUUUCUUUCUUUUUCAUGAACAUUUGUUGUUAAAUACUGCACGCACAUGCGAGAUUAUCAUGCAUUAUAGAAGGUUAUGUUUCCUGUUUGUAUACUUCCAUUCAUGCUAAUUUGCCGCACUCUUUCAGCUGCAGGUAUCCUGGAGUUUGGCUAAUAACCCGCUGCGGGUUUUGGUCCUGUGCAUUAAUCUCAUCAUCAUGCAUGGUAGUAUUCAGUGAGGACUACAACGAAUUGUGAGUGUAAAUCAAGUUGCAGAGUUAUGUUCCGAAGAUUGGACAGAUGGAGGAGGAAUGAAGAUGGAAUUUUCAUAUUACUGAGUGGGGUAGAGAAGGCCCCUGUCAAGACAGCUAGAUGGGUGCAUGAUGGCUACCGGAGAGAAAGAUGUCUGCUGCAUUUCUCAUUUUCUGAAGCCAGAUGAGCACAACAAACAUAUUAGAUAGAAGAAUGGUGCCUAGACCACCGCCAAUGGAGUUCAAUUGUUCUACUGCUAUUUAGAAUUCGCUAACCUUUGAAUUUCUUGUACAGCUUCCUUAGCAUAUUAGCCGGAGAGAGUUAUUGUCAGCUUAUUAUUUCACACCGUACAUACACUGUCAUGUGAGGACCAUUGAUUUGUCGAUCAUUACGUCUACUUAGUUAACCAUCUCAUACUACACUUACCCUUUCAGUAUCACAGUAGCCUUGUACUUGCAGUAGUUGUGCAUAUUAUUGCAAAGUGAACAACUAUCUGAAUAAUGUCUCUGGAUGUAAGUGUUUUCCAUAGUUUCAAGUCAUUUGAAGUAGGUUUUA